rnacentral:rRNA from 1 species
GGUUGAUCCUGCCAGUAGUCAUAUGCUCAUUUUAAAGAUUAAGCCAUGCAUGUCUAAGUAUAAACACUUGUACUGUGAAACUGCGAAUGGCUCAUUAAAUCAGAAAUAAUUUAUUUGAUAGUACCUUUCUACUUGGAUAACCGUGGAAAUGCUAGAGCUAAUACAUGCGCAAACUCCCGACUCUUGGAAGGGAUGUAUUUAUUAGAUCCAAAACCAAUGCGGGGCAACCCGGUUCAUUUGGUGAUUCAUGAUAACUUGACGAAUCGUAUGACUUUACGUCGACGAUGGUUCAU